UGGGGAAUAUUGCACAAUGGGCGAAAGCCUGAUGCAGCCAUGCCGCGUGUGUGAAGAAGGCCUUCGGGUUGUAAAGCACUUUCAGUUGUGAGGAAAGGGAUGUAGUUAAUAGCUGCAUUCUGUGACGUUAACAACAGAAGAAGCACCGGCUAACUUCGUGCCAGCAGCCGCGGUAAUACGAGGGGUGCAAGCGUUAAUCGGAAUUACUGGGCGUAAAGCGUACGUAGGCGGUUUGAUAAGCAAGAUGUGAAAGCCCAGGGCUCAACCUUGGAACUGCAUUUUGAACUGUCAGACUAGAGUACUGUAGAGGGUGGUGGAAUUUCCAGUGUAGCGGUGAAAUGCGUAGAGAUUGGAAGGAACAUCAGUGGCGAAGGCGGCCACCUGGACAGAUACUGACGCUGAGGUACGAAAGCGUGGGGAGCGAACAGG
rnacentral:rRNA from 1 species